rnacentral:lncRNA from 1 species
UGCAGGAUUUUCUUUUUCAUUUUAUUUCAUACUGUGGUUUUAGAUUCAUAAGAUAUUUUCAAUCCAGAAAGAGUCAGGUACAGAGGCGUGACAGCCAGAAGGCAUGCCACGGUUUCAGGGGGGAUGUGCAAUUCUGGAUGGGCUCCAGCCUCCCAGGAAAAAGGGUCCUGGAGUAUUACCAGGCUGUUACCCUUACCUCCCUCUCCCCAUCGCAUUGUAUUGGAUUUGCUAAAAAAGCAACUUCUACCAGCUCCUCAGCUGCCAGCGAUUACCCCGGAUGAUCUGACUGUCGGGAAGAAGGAAAUACUGGACCUGUCUCCCACAGGCUGGAUAUCCACUGAAAAUUAGGCCAAGCUGGAGUAGGCACAGUCAGACCUCAGGGCAUGGGGGAUUUGAAUAAAGGGAUAGGAGGUCAGGGAACUUUGGAUGGUUUUCACUUAAAACUUCCCAUUUGCUCUAUGGAGCAGAGGAACUAAUAUAGUCUCUGUUGGGAGCACCUUACAAAACCCCAUUUUGAUCUUCUCAGUCUCUCUUUGCCCACCCAACUGGCCUCCAGACUUCAUGUGGAUAGUUCCUUAACUGUGUUGAGUCAAGCUGUCCAGAGCUAUGCUGUAAGCAGCACUGAGAAUUCUGAGGGCUCUCAUCUGGCUUUCACUCUGCUGAGAGUGGGCUGGCUUCUCAGCAGGCUCAGGGGCUCCCCGUGGGCCAGUGGGAGAAUGGCCCAGCGUGAUUCACUCAAGAGAGAUCCUUGGUCCACUCCACAGCUGCCCCCAAGGCCAGCGUGGGCAGCAAUGAGCACUUCAGCAUGUGCCUGCACCCACGGUGAGUACUUUGAAAUUUUCAAAUUUUUGACGCUCCAAUCAACUCUGUCUUGUGGCUAGAUAUCCUGGGAACUUUUCUGCUCUUGGAAGAAGAAACACUCUCUCUCCAACUUCCUCCUGAGCUUGUCUCACUCAUGCUGAGACAUCUCUGAAAUGAACAAGAACUUUGCUAAAAAUCGGUUGGACAUGUUUGUGCAUGAGCAAAUAUGUUGUGAUCUUUACGUCAUCUAUGUAAAUAAUUGCAGUGCAUGUUUUUUAAAUAUUGAAACACUUGUCUUUUUCCUGAAGCAACAUUUUAUAUAUGUAUAUUUAAAAAAUCUGAAAUUUGAUUUCUUUUUACAACUUGAUAUACCCAGAGAGUUAUUUGCUGCGUUAAAAUUUCAAAUCUAACAAAACUGCACUGAUUUAGAAGGCGUUCGUCUAUGCCUCUGUAAUCCUCAAGAGGAGAAUGAAAGUGACAGUGGAUGGAGCCAAGCUUCUAUUGCAAGGAAUAUUUCUCCCUCUAGUUCAAAGACUUUCUGAAAAAGUAGAAUAUAAACAUGACAGAGUGGAAAUGGAUGCAGAUAACUCUGCAUCAAAUACUCCAUCUACGCAUGAUGAGAAUAAAGGAGCGGAAGCAAAGCUGGCAGUGCUCUCUUUGAAACAAAGCUAUAGCUGUCGAUACAAAGAUGGAGGUCUGUGCAGAAACAAAAAGCUUCUCAUAAAACGCCUCCUCCAAGUUGUCGAAGAAAAGAUGAGAUUAUUCGAAAAUGUUACGUCAGAGGAAAAUAUUUGGAGUCAGUCCAUAACUAACUUCGCCAUCAUCCCGCCUAUAAAGCAGCCAAGAUUUAUCAACAGCGGGAAAAAUUUGUACCAGAGUACACUCUCCUUAUGACACCAUAUUUUUUUAUGUAAACUUAACUUUUGAGAAAUAUUUAAUUUUCAACUUCCCAUGGCAGAUAAAGUUUUUCCUUUUAUAUAAUGUUUUUGAGUACUACUCUUUUAUUAAUUGUAUUGCUAAUAAGUGAUUUGGGAAUAACAAAGUAUGCUUAAUAUGCAUAUUUUUAAAAAUUUGCAUUUUUACUUGUUUUAGAGUAUAUUUCAUUUUUUAGUUGUUAUAAGUGAAAUAUUGGGUUUUACUUUUUAUUUCAUAAACUCUGAAAACGUUAAAAACAUAAAAUGCCAGUAUCAAUAUUAAUAUUUCAAUGUUAUACAAAAUAAUAACCAAAUUACUAACCUGGCAUUUUGCUUUGGUAUUGUAGUCACCAAAUAGUAAAGCAAUAAAAGUCCAUAAUCUCUUACACACACACACAAAGCAAUCAUCAAGGGGCCAUUCAGUGUUUAGAGUUUCUGUAUCUUUCUCCUUAUAUUUCAUUUCAACCAUUUGAUUAAAUUGAAACCUGAACAAGGUUCUUAGAGCUUUUCAAAAUUAGGGCUGUCACUCGAAUCCGUGUAAAACUGUAUUUUGGCUUCUCUUGUGUCAGAAUGAAAUCAAAAUUGCCAGACACCGGGAGAUAGAAGCUGGUCAAAAGAGUUUCGCUGCUUGUUUUGUCUCUUCAUAAAUGCCGUGCAAGCAGCGUCCAGACACGGCGGAUUUCCUCCCAACCUCUGUCUGAGAAUGGGCUUCCUCCAUCACCCAUUCAGCACUUUUAAGCUGGAUCAACUCACUCCAUGGCCCAUUGGGUGCUGGCCUCUGAGAGUGUUCCCUUCCCACCGCCAACUCUGCAGCCUGACUCAGGCCCCCAUUCCAAGAGGGGCAUAUGUUUGAUCCCUUCUCUUUCCUCCUGGAGGAUCCUCAGGGGCCCAUGAAUAUCUAAUCAGCACUCUUUCAAUGCAUUCAGAUUAGCUUUCUCCCUAUUCUUCAACAAUAACAUACAAGGCAAAAAAGUAUGGAUGAUAACAAAAGAGAGACUUUUUUCUUUUGAGGAAGAUUAGCCCUGAGCUAACAUCCGUGGCCGUCUUCCUCUACUUUAUAUGUGGGACACCUGCCACAGCAUGGCUUGACCAGCAGUGCCAUGUCC